GGCGGUUGGGACGGAGAGAAGUGAGACGACGAAUUGGGAGUCGAAAGGGAGACCGAUGGGAUCCCAAGCGGGGCGUGUAGGUCUUCGAUCGUCGCAGCGUAGAUCGAUGGUUCUGGUAGAGAAGGCGGAGGAGGAGGAGGAGGAGGAGGGAAGCGGGGGCCGACGGGCGUCUCCUUCAAUGGCUCCCGGGACCCGGAUCCAGCCAAAAUCAAGAUCGAUGCCGGAGGGAGGUUGGACACUCUCGUGCCUUGUCGAAGCUGGGUCGGAGCGCCCAGGGGAAGGGAGAUCGGGUGGAUCUUGGUUUUCGGUUCGUCGCAUCUUUGGCGAGGGAGAGAGAUGGGGAUUGGCAGCACUUCGUCGUGAAAGCUGCUGCAAUCUGUGGUUUGCGCAUGUUCACCGCCGCCUGGGAUUUUGUAGUUCUUCGGUACCUUUUCUGGGUUUAGCUCCUGGAACUCUUGGAAUGCUUACGAUCCGGUGUAUCCGAGAUCACCAUGUUGCCGAAUUCGUUUGUUUUGGUGGUGAUCAUGACUUGGUACACCGUGGGUUCGAGUUUGGUUCUCUUUCGUCCCCUCUUCUCUUUUUCGGUCAUCGAUCGCACUUCCUAUAGGUAUAACCUUUUGGCCAUAACAUUGAAAGAACUUCGAAACUAACGAUUAAUUGUAGAUAUCUGAAUUUUUGCAAGUCACCGAAAAAAGGAGGAGAAUGGAGUAUUGCAGACGCGGUUAAAGAAAUACUAACAGAGAGAAAGAGAGAAAAAAAGAAAUGACUGAUACCAUUGUUCCGUAUCAAUACAGAUUCACUCUGUCAAACACAUCAUUUUCAGGUGGGCACAGAAACUAUAUCUGGUUUGUCUUAAUAGAUCAAGGUGUGUUAGGUUAUGAGUUUUGGUGGUAUACGGAAAUCAAACCUUGUCAAGAAAUAAGUAUGUCAUGAUUACAUGUUUGGAAUAACAUGGAAUGGAUUAAAUUAGUGUCUUAGAUCUUAAUUUAGAUUGUUAGUGUAAAUAUAAGACCACAAAUUCCUUUUCUCUGCACAAAGUGUGAUAGGUUAUGAGUUUUGGUGGUACACGGAAAUCAAACCUUGUCAAGAAAUCAGUAUGCCAUCUUUACAUGUUUGGGAUAAUAUGGAAUGGAUUAAAUUAGUGUCUUAGAUCUUAAUUUAGAUUGUUGGCAUAAAUAUAAGACCAGAUAUUCCUUUUCUCUACACAAAGUGUGUUAGGUUAUGAGUGUUUGUGGUAUACGGAAAUCAAACCUUGUCAAGAAAUGAGUAUGUCAUCUUUACAUUGUUUGGAAUAACCUGAAUCGGAUUAAAUUAGUGUCUUAGAUCUUAAUCUAGAUUGUUGGGAUAAAUAUAAGACCAGAAAUUCCUUUUCUCUACACAAGUCAAAUCUCUAAAUUUCUUUACAUUCAAUUAAUAAGUCCAUUAUUUCAGAAAAUUAUUGCCUUUUUUGAUUGGACUGAUCUAUCAUGGAUAUGAUAGACCAAGAAUUUCUCUUUUAGUCUACAUGAUCCCUCCUCCAUUCGCCAUGGAGAACAUGCAUAGCAUCUGAUUGAGACAGAUUAAACAAUUGUGGAUCCUUGUCUUAGUUGCAUACCACAGAAUUCUCUUCUUUCCUGCUCUUAACUCGAUGGCGGUGAGUAGUAUCUUCAUGAGGAGGGAGGGAUCACAAAACAAUGUGGUAAUACUCCUCAUUUGAUAAUAUAUUAGUUCUACCUGCGUAUAUGCAAUUUCUUUAAGAUGGAUUCAUUUGAUUCCCAAAAUGCAAGAGCAUUUUAUAUGUCACUAACAUUCCCUUUUCUCCACGACAAAUGUAGAUCUACCGAAUAUGUGAGGCAACUUCUGAAUUUGGAUUAAGGAUUUGAUGGUGCCUGAUAAUCUGAAGCCUACAGAUCCUACUUUUGGAUCUCUUAAUCUUGGAUCUCAAUGGAGGCAAAUCUAUCUUUAGGAUCUUGUUUGAGUAUAGAUUUAUUCUACCUACAUAUGUAGAUUGAUCGAGGUUGUGAGGCAACUUCUGAAUUUGGAUCAAGGAUGUUAAUGGAGCCUGACGUUCUGAAGCCUGAUCUGAAAUCUCAAGCACAGAUCCUAGUUUUGGAUCUCUUUAUCUUAUCAGCGUACAAUUCUUGAAUCUUUAUCUGGUAACUUGUUAUAAUCUAGAACAUGACUCUGAUCCAACCUGCAAUGUUGCAUGUAGAUCCACAUUUUGAAACUAUAGGUGGAUCGGUCCAAAAUUAUGUAAUUCUAUAACCUACCAAGAUUAGUCCAUGUCUGUGUUAAGCUAGGUUUAAGAAUUUAGAUUUCAGCAGGUCCGAAUGCAUUGAUCUCCUUCCUUGCCAAUCUUCCAGACUAGAUUGUAUCUAAUUCCUUGCAUGAUCCAUAAGCAACUCAUACAAUGACAUCGUUUUGGGCCUCUAGGUUGAUAAAAAUGUUUGUGAUCUCAGGUUCAUGUAUAGAGAGAUGAUCAAUAAAACUUCGUUAAGGUAGAUGAAGAAGCAAGAUCGCCAACUAGUGCCAUUAAUAUAUUGUGAUUGACUUGUUCGAUUGAGAGAAUUUCCUUUUUAGUGUUUCCUGUUAAGGUCUACUUAUCCUUUUGCACUAUUAAUGGUGAACCUUUAAAUCUUCUUUGAACAUAUUCCUGACAUCAUAAUCUCUUUUGUUUCAGGUGAAGUUAUUUUAAUCAUAGACAAAUACAAAUUCUUUAUAAUAAUCUCACAGAUUAUCUCUUAAACCAUCUAAGAUAUAAAUGAAAGAUUAGUAAAAGAUAUUUAACUCAAAUGUACUAGUUUUUGCACACAAGUGCUGUUUGCUUGGGAGAUGCUUACAUUCCAAAUGGUAUGAUCUUCCAUGGGCCUCUGGAACCAAUCAAUGAGACCUCACUUCAGGUACGUUCAUGGCGCUUCUGUCAACUAUGCUAAAUUCAUUAAUAAGACUUUGCAGGCAAUAGGAUAAAUCUUUUUCGACCAAUUCUUUAACUGUCAUGAAUACUUUCAAGGUAACAAGUAAAUGAUUUGUGACGAAUUUAAUCUGAUCUAAAUUUCUAGUCUCCAUCCUAUUCCUCUGUCAUGCAACUCUACUCUCUCCUCACCUCUUAAAGAAAUUAACAGCAAGUUCCGGCUUAGUUUUGUGGUUGUUUCAGGACGCACAAUCAACAACCAUGCAGUCUUAUUGAUUUUUCCUGGUUUCUUGGUCUCCAUAAUUUUUUUUAUUAAUGUGAAUUUGCUUCUAAAUUUUGGUCUUAGUCGAAUCCGAAUCAAAUCAUGUUUCUCGAUACUUUGGGCAUCUGAUCUUAUAGGUUGGAGCUAGAAAACCAGUGGCAACUAUUUUCUUGAGAGCUUUGGUGUAGUUAGUUCCUUGUGGUUCUGUGGAAUUAUCUUAAUAAUUAUAUUGCACAAUCAUCAUGUCCAACAUAUAUCACUGUGGGAUAGAGUUAAUAAUACCCUAAACGAAUGAGUCCUACCAACCUUCUUCACCAAUUUAAGGGGAUUGCUCCUUUGCAAUAUACUCGAAUAAUUGCAUGGUGAUGGACUUCCGAUUCUUUGAUUUAUCUUUGCUCCCAUCUAAAGAUUUUCUUAUAUAAUAUUCUUUUAAGAAGAGCGCUCUCUUCUCAUCUCUCUCCGGGCUGUGGAAGGUGGAGGCUCAUCGACGAUCGACGAUUGCCUUUGAUGGUACGAUCUCCAUAAUAUCUUGUUUCUUUUGAUCUCUUAUUUCGUUCCAACUUAUUCAUCUCUUGUUGUCAGCUACAACACUCAUAAAUCUUGGUAUCUUUGUUUUUGGUUGUCGAGGUAAAUCUUGACAUUCUUGAUCCCUGUCUUUUGGUUUAUGCGGUACUAUUAGUUUUAUGACAACACUAACAAACUACUUGUACAUUGUGCAUACGAAGUCCAUUUAUUUUGUGGGAGUCAUGGCGUGAACGUGGACAAGCAACACUGUUCUUUGAAAAUUUUUGGGAUUUCUAUGAUGUGAUUUUGUUUGUGCGCUGCAGGAAGAGCUUUGUGAAUUUUACUACUCCAAAAUGCAAGUAAGACUUUGACCACAUUAAUUUCAGUAGCAGACUUGUCUUUUGGGUAGACCAAAUAUGUAAGUCCUCAUUUAUGUUCAAUUGGGCUAUCCGGGUCAAUUGGGAGGCCGGCCUAGGUUUUAUUUUUCUUAUUGAGAAUAGAAAAUUAUCUACGGUUAAAUUUUAAGAUUCAGUGUGAAGAGUUUUAGGUUUCAUGGUCAUGUUCUUACAGCUUGUUUCACGGUAUCACAUAGCAUUCAUUUUUCUUGUACACACUCUCAUUCUAUGAUUCUGCCAUUUUCAUUUUCUUCGGAA